UUGUGCCAGCAGCCGCGGUAAUACGAAGUCCGCUAGCGUUGUUCGGAAUUACUGGGCGUAAAGCGCACGUAGGCGGAUAUUUAAGUCAGGGGUGAAAUCCCAGAGCUCAACUCUGGAACUGCCUUUGAUACUGGGUAUCUUGAGUAUGGAAGAGGUAAGUGGAAUUGCGAGUGUAGAGGCGAAAUUCGUAGAUAUUCGCAGGAACACCAGUGGCGAAGGCGGCUUACUGGUCCAUAACUGACGCUGAGGUGCGAAAGCGGGGGGAGCAAACAGGAUUAGAUACCCUGGUAGUCCACGCCGUAAACGAUGAAUGUUAGCCGUCGGGCAGUUUACUGUUCGGUGGGACAGCUAAUUCAUUAAACAUUCCGCCUGGGGAGUACGCGCGCAAGAUUAAAACUCAAAGGUUCUGAAGGCGGGCCCCACAAGCGGGGGAGCAUGGGGUUUAAUUCAAAGCCCCGGUCAGAACCUUACAAGCCCUUGACAUGUCCGGGUAUCCAGAUGGACUUGGAGCUCCCUUCGGGGACUCGAACAAAGCAGCUGCAUGGCUGUCGUCAGCUCGUGUCGUCAGAAAGUUGGAAAAGUCACGCAACGAGGGCAACCCCUCCCCCUAUAGGUUGCAGCAUGCAGUUGGGCACUACUAGGAGGUACUGCCACUUACCAGCCCAGAACAAAGUGGGGAUGACGACAUGCCACUUGUCUCUACUGCUUGGGCUGCACACGCACUACCACGCUGAGGACAGUGAGCAGCUUAGUUAGCGAUACUGAGCUAAUCUACGAAAGCCACUCAUGUCAGAAUGCACUCUGCAGCUCGACGUCUCGAGUAGCUACUGUAGUAUCUCGACUCAUCACGGCACGUGAAUACGUUCCUGAGCGUGCUAUCAUCGCCCCUCCAUGUCG
rnacentral:rRNA from 1 species